CCGGGAUUGCCUCAGUAACGGCGAGUGAAGCGGCAAGAGCUCAAAUUUGAAAGCUGGCUCCUUCGGGGUCCGCAUUGUAAUUUGCAGAGGAUGCUUCGGGUGCGGCCCCUGUCUAAGUGCCCUGGAACGGGCCGUCAGAGAGGGUGAGAAUCCCGUCUGGGAUGGGGUGUCCGCGCCCGUGUGAAGCUCCUUCGACGAGUCGAGUUGUUUGGGAAUGCAGCUCUAAAUGGGUGGUAAAUUUCAUCUAAAGCUAAAUACUGGCCGGAGACCGAUAGCGCACAAGUAGAGUGAUCGAAAGAUGAAAAGCACUUUGAAAAGAGAGUUAAAAAGCACGUGAAAUUGUUGAAAGGGAAGCGCUUGCGACCAGACUCGCCUCCAGGGUUCAGCCGGCAUUCGUGCCGGUGUACUUCCCUGGGGGCGGGCCAGCGUCGGUUUGGGCGGCCGGUCAAAGGCUCCCGGAAUGUAGUGCCCUUCGGGGCACCUUAUAGCCGGGAGUGCAAUGCGGCCAGCCUGGACCGAGGAACGCGCUUCGGCACGGACGCUGGCAUAAUGGUCGCAAACGACCCGUCUUGAAACACGGACCAAGGAGUCUAACAUCUACGCGAGUGUUCGGGUGUCAAACCCGUACGCGCAGUGAAAGCGAACGGAGGUGGGAGCCCCCUCGCGGGGCGCACCAUCGACCGAUCCUGAUGUCUUCGGAUGGAUUUGAGUAAGAGCGUAAAUGUGGGGACCCGAAAGAUGGUGAACUAUGCCUGAAUAGGGCGAAGCCAGAGGAAACUCUGGUGGAGGCUCGCAGCGGUUCUGACGUGCAAAUCGAUCGUCAAAUUUGGGUAUAGGGGCGAAAGACUAA
rnacentral:rRNA from 1 species